GUUUUUACUGAUCUGGUUCUCCUGGAUAGAGACUGUGAACCACUUACUGAGAAUGCAAUGGCGCCGGUAAUUGGCAGCUCAUCACCUCUCUCUACCAAGCUUAAGCUAGAUGAGCUGUAUUCACCCUUAUUGUAAAGAUGACUAUGUAGGUCUUCCAAAAUUUUAUAAAAUAGUACACCACGCAACUUUGCUAGUUCUGACCGAAUAUCUUGAAG
rnacentral:misc_RNA from 1 species